rnacentral:lncRNA from 1 species
UGCAUCCUUCUAGAUUCAUAGUAACUUGAUGGACGAAGAUGAAUUACUCUGUUUUCAUUAUGACUAUUGCACAUUUCAUGAGAACCAUUUCUCCUACUAUUAGUUCUAAAAUGAGCAGCGUUUCUACAGUAAUGGUCAUGUCUAGAUGUUCUAGGAGGUUCAAAACUCCUUCUAUUGUUUGGCCUAAAAUAUGCAUCAUUUCUAGGGUAGUCAUUUCUAGGUGGUAAGUCAUUUCUAGGUCUUCUAAAAUGUUCAACAUUUGGUCUAACAUGCAGUCAUUUCUAGGUGGUAAGUCAUUUCUAGGUCUUCUAAAAUGUUCAACAUUUGUUCUAGCAUGCAUAUUUGUUCUAGGAUUGCUAUUUCUACGACAAGCAUUUGUUUUAUUAAUCCAAGGUUGAGCCUUAGGUGGUUGGGGUUUGGCUUCAACCUUUU